rnacentral:rRNA from 1 species
CCUACGGGGGGCAGCAGUGGGGAAUAUUGGACAAUGGGGGAAACCCUGAUCCAGCGACGCCGCGUGAGUGAAGAAGUAUUUCGGUACGUAAAGCUCUAUCAGCAGGAAAGAAAAUGACGGUACUUGACUAAGAAGCACCGGCUAACUACGUGCCAGCAGCCGCGGUAAUACGUAGGGGGCAAGCGUUAUCCGGAUUUACUGGGUGGAAAGGGAGCGUAGACGGCAGCGCAAGUCUGAAGGGAAAUGACGGGGCGCAACCCCGGACCUGCUCUGGAAACUGUGUAGCUGGAGUGCAGGAGAGGUAAGCGGAAUUCCUGGUGUAGCGGUGAAAUGCGUAGAUAUCCGGAGGAACACCAGCGGCGAAGGCGGCUUGCUGGACUGUAACUGACGUUGAGGCUCGAAGGCGUGGGGAGCAAACAGGAUUAGAUACCCGUGUAGUC